GCCUUCGUGGUGUAGUGGUUAGCAUGCUGGACGCGCAUUCGAGAGGUCCAUGGUUCGAGUCCCAGCGAAGGCG
rnacentral:tRNA from 1 species